rnacentral:rRNA from 1 species
CACGUAGGGCGCAAGCGUUGUCCGGAAUUAUUGGGCGUAAAGAGCUCGUAGGCGGUCUGUUGCGUCCGCUGUGAAAACUCGGGGCUUAACCCCGAGCCUGCAGUGGAUACGGGCAGACUAGAGGUAGGUAGGGGAGAAUGGAAUUCCCGGUGUAGCGGUGAAAUGCGUAGAUAUCAGGAGGAAUACCGAUGGCGAAGGCAGGUCUCUGGGCUGACACUGACGCUCAUGCACGAAAGCGUGGGGAGCAAACAGG